rnacentral:rRNA from 1 species
GACGAACGCUGGCGGCGUGCUUAACACAUGCAAGUCUAACGGAAAGUCCCUGCUUUUGUGGUGUGCUCGAGUGGCGAACGAGUGAGUAACACGUGAGUAACCUGCCCUUGACUUUGGGCUAACUUCCGGAAACUGGGGCUAAUUCCGGAUAGGAGCUCCUGCUGCAUGGUGGGGGGUGGAAAUUUUCGUCGGUUGGGGAUGGACUCGCGGCUUAUCAGCUUGUCGGUGGGGUGGUGGCUUACCAAGGCUUCGACGAGUAGCCGCCCUGAGCGGGUGACGGACCCCAUUGGCACUGUGACACUGCCUAGACUGGUACGGGAGCUAGAAGUGUGAGAUAUUGAACAAUGGGCGGAAGACCAACGGAGCAACGCCGCGCGCGGGACGAAGGCCUUGGGGUUGUAACCCGGUUUCGCCUGGGACGAAGCCUGAGUGACGGUAAUGUGUAAAGAAGCACCGGCUGACUACGUG